rnacentral:lncRNA from 1 species
ACUGCAAUUGUUGUAUCCUUAGAACAUCUUUCGAAGAAAGAUGAGGCAAACAGUGAGCCUGAGUGCUGGGGGAGCUGGUGUGCCAGCGUCAGGGUCCUCCUGCUUCCAGGACCUGCUCCAUCCCCAGGCAGCUGAGGCUGCGGGACCCCAUGGUGAAAUGGGUGAAUAUCAGACAGCUCAUUACAGAGACAAGCAUGCUGCGUUCCCAAAGUAAGAUGACAGAACAAGUCAUGGUACGUAUUGUAAUUUCAGUACUACAAUACGUCUUCAAGCUGUCGGAGGUAAAAUGCUUACUAAGCACUGCAUUGGGGCUGUCAGAAUGCUUCAUGGGGUAGUAAUUAAAUUGAGGCAGUUCU